GAUGAACGCUGGCGGCGUGCCUAAUACAUGCAAGUCGAGCGAACGGACGAGAAGCUUGCUUCUCUGAUGUUAGCGGCGGACGGGUGAGUAACACGUGGAUAACCUACCUAUAAGACUGGGAUAACUUCGGGAAACCGGAGCUAAUACCGGAUAAUAUUUUGAACCGCAUGGUUCAAAAGUGAAAGACGGUCUUGCUGUCACUUAUAGAUGGAUCCGCGCUGCAUUAGCUAGUUGGUAAGGUAACGGCUUACCAAGGCAACGAUGCAUAGCCGACCUGAGAGGGUGAUCGGCCACACGGGAACUGAGACACGGACCAGACUCCUACGGGAGGCAGCAGUAGGGAAUCUUCCGCAAUGGGCGAAAGCAUGACGGAGCAACGCCGCGUGAGUGAUGAAGGUCUUCGGAUCGUAAAACUCUGUUAUUAGGGAAGAACAUAUGUGUAAGUAACUGUGCACAUCUUGACGGUACCUAAUCAGAAAGCCACGGCUAACUACGUG
rnacentral:rRNA from 1 species